rnacentral:lncRNA from 1 species
CUAGAGUUGUCAAUCCCAGCUGAGGUGCUCUGGAGUUACAGGGACUCAGCGCUUUUUUUUUUUUUUAAGUUUUAUUUUAUUUAUUUGAAAGAGUUACAGAGAGAGGUAGAGACUGAGAGAGAGGUCUUCCAUCUGCUGGCCCACUCCCCAGAUGGCUGCAACGGCUGGAGCUUCGCCGAUCCAAAGCCAGGAGCCAGGAGCUUCUUCCAGGUCCCCUACGUGGUUACAGAAGCCCAAGCACGUGGGCCAUCUUUCACUGCUUUCCCAGGUCACAGCAGAGAGCUGGAUCGGAAGAGGAGCAGCCGGGACCAGAAUGCACCCACAUGGGCUGCUGGUGCCUCAGCCAGGGCAUUAACCCGCUGCGCCACAGUGCCGGCCCCUAUUUAUUUAUUUAUUUAUUAUUAUUUUUUUUUUAAAGAUAGGGACUCUGCUCUUUUACUCUGUUGUUCAUGCCACCUACCAACCAACCCUACACAACCACCUCUAGUAUAUGUGGCUUCUCCACUUCAAGCUCCUUUUUUUAUUAUCCCCCUCCUCCUCCCCCCAUUCCUCCCCUUCUUUACUUUUCCCAUUCCUUUCCCUAAUGGCUUCUGCCUUCCAAUAUCUUCUGAUUCCUCCAUGACCUUUACUUUCUCAUCUCUUCUAUCAACUCAUACCUCUGCUGCUCCAUGGCCUUUGCUACUGGCCUCAUCUCUACAUGCCUUCCUGCCUCUGCACCCCUUCCAAUGCCUCAAAUUCGAAGUCCUAAGAAAAAUGAGAUUGGACCAGGCAGUUGUUCUGGUUUGUAUGAGCAGAUCUCUCAUGCCAAAGUGUGGGCUCUUCCUUGUCUUAAGCAGUGACACACAAACAAGCCCUCAGGACCUCAUCUGUAAGUUGAUAGGCAACUCUUCAAGGCAACUGAAUGAAGUUCAGAGAAGGUACUUUGAAUCUUUUUUAUUUUUUUUAAGAUUUAUUCAUUUAUCUGAGAGGCAGAGUUACAGAGAGAGGGGGAUGCAGAGAGAAUGGUCCUCCAUCCGCUGGUUCACUCCCCAAAUGGCCACAAUGGCCAGAGCUGGGCCAAUCCAAAGCCAGGAACCAGGAGCUUCUUCCAGGUCCCCCAUGCAGGUGCCCAAGCACUUGGGCCAUCUUCCACUGCUUUCCCCAGGCCAUUAG